rnacentral:rRNA from 1 species
GACGAACGCUGGCGGCGUGCCUAAUACAUGCAAGUCGAGCGAAGUUUUCCUGGUUCUUUCACUAGAAUAACUUAGCGGCGAACGGGUAAGUAACACGUAAAGAACCUGCCUCAUAGACUGGGACAACUAUUGGAAACGAUAUCUAAGACCGGAUAACAGUAUUUCUCUCAUGAGGGUUAUUUAAAAGUUGGUUAUGCUAACACUAUCAGAUGGCUUUGAGGUGCAUUAGCUAGUUGGUGGGGUAAGCGCCCACCAAGGCCACGAAGGAUAGCCGACCUGAGAGGGGGGUAGCCCACAUGAGAACGGAGACACGGCCAAGACUCCUAAGAGACGGAGCAGAAGCCAACCUUCCGCAAUGGGCGAAAGCCUGACGGAGCAAGGGAGCGCGAGAGACAAAGAAUUUCGGUUCGUAAAGCUCGGUUGUUAGGGAAGAACGUAUUUGUAGUAACAAGAAAUGUAAGAGACGGUACCUAACGAGAAAGCCACGGCUAACUACGUG